UCACAACUAUCAAGUGGUACACGAUGAUCGACAUCGCCAGUGCAGGACUUCGACAUUUUUUCGGAUAUAAUUUCUUCCAUGGAUAUAUUUGUUAGCUGUGAACUCGUUGAGAAUAUAGUGAGGGACACUGUGAAUAUAUGAACGGAAUUUCAGCUUCUCAAAUCAGAAAGCAUUGCGAAAGUUCCGUUGGUUAUUGCCGUGAUGGUGUGUGUACGUCGUGUAGCUAGGACGGUGGUUAACAAAAACACAACCACUAGAACUCGCAUUUUUCAAGCAUUUUCAAUAUUUAAAGACCUGAAGUCCCAUCCACUAUUCCACACAAUCGACUGGAAGCGAAUCAGGGAGACAGAAGCCCCUUUCAUCCCAGCCCCAGAUAACAGAACGGACACCACUUAUUUUGACGCUCGGAACAACAUGCAGCAUCUCCAGAUGUCUUCUUUUGCACUUUGACCUCUUGAAUGAUAGUGCAAUCCACAACUCAUCAACAGAAGUAAUGAAACUAUUCCAGGAUGGUGGUCAACUUGGUCCAGUGGUUAGACUGCAGGACUUGCAAUCACAAGCUCGGAACAACAUGCAGCAUCUCCAGAUGUCUUCUUUUGAACUUUGACCUCUUGAAUGAUAGUGCAAUCCACAACUCAUCAACAGAAGUAAUGAAACUAUUCCAGGAUGGUGGUCAACUUGGUCCAGUGGUUAGACUGCAGGACUUGCAAUCACAAGCUCGGAACAACAUGCAGCAUCUCCAGAUGUCUUCUUUUGCACUUUGACCUCUUGAAUGAUAGUGCAAUCCACAACUCAUCAACAGAAGUAAUGAAACUAUUCCAGGAUGGUGGUCAACUUGGUCCAGUGGUUAGACUGCAGGACUUGCAAUCACAAGGUUGUAGGUUUGAAUCCUAAAGCUAACUGU